rnacentral:tRNA from 3 species
CUGCCCGUAGCUCAGUUGGACAGAGCAUCAGCCUUCUAAGCUGAGGGUCACAGGUUCGAAUCCUGUCGGGCAGGCCA